GGUACAGACCAACGAAAAAAGGUAACUAUGACGAUGAAUAUUGUGGAGAGCCUAAGGGAUACGUCUGUCAGUUUAAAGAAGAAUGUCCUUGUAUCAAUCAAGCCGUGGAGUAAGACAUGAAAAAAUGCGGAUGGAAAUAUCGCAAUAAACGUGUCAACCAACUCAAACUCUUUAGAUGGAUUCCCCAAAGUAAGCGACACGACGUUCGACGUUUUUGCAAAUGGAAUCUUCAAUCUGUAUACCUAUACGAUUCGUUGUAUAUUAUAUAGUUAUACAUGUUUUGGUUUGCUUUGAAUGAGAAUAAAGAAUAUAAUGUGAAAA